CUGUAUAGGUCGAAGGUGUCCGACAUCUCUUUGGAUCCUUUUAGGCAAAAUGAUGUGCAAAGCGAUCUGUUGACCUGAGACAAUCGGAGAAA
rnacentral:rRNA from 14 species